rnacentral:lncRNA from 1 species
CGGCGCGCCGGGGAGGAGCGGGCGCGGCGGGCAGCGCCAUCUGGAGCUGAAAUGAUGGAAGAGAAACCAGGAGGAGGGAACGGGAAGACAUAGGAAAAAGCUUCAAUGCUUUGCUCAGAACAGCUCCACUGGAAAGAAGCAGCCACCACUCACAGGAGGAAACCCUACCUGCCCACGGCUGCAACAUUCCUGCUGCUCAGAGCUGACCAAGCAGUCCUGGCAGGCUGGGAUCCAUCCUCUUCAGAGCCAGUUCCCCACUUUCCACAUGUCACCCUGUGGGGACCUCUUCAGGAAAGAGUCCUCUAUCUCUGUGCCAGGUUAUGCUUGUGUGGAAGAAGGCAAUCUGAAUCCCAA